rnacentral:rRNA from 1 species
AUUGAACGCUGGCGGCAUGCCUUACACAUGCAAGUCGAACGGCAGCACGGGAGCAAUCCUGGUGGCGAGUGGCGAACGGGUGAGUAAAGUAUCGGAACGUGCCCAGUCGUGGGGGAUAACGUAGCGAAAGUUACGCUAAUACCGCAUACGAUCUAUGGAUGAAAGCGGGGGAUCGCAAGACCUCGCGCGAUUGGAGCGGCCGAUAUCAGAUUAGGUAGUUGGUGGGGUAAAGGCUCACCAAGCCGACGAUCUGUAGCUGGUCUGAGAGGACGACCAGCCACACUGGGACUGGGACACGGCCCAGACUCCUACGGGAGGCAGCAGUGGGGAAUUUUGGACAAUGGGCGAAAGCCUGAUCCAGCCAUGCCGCGUGCAGGAUGAAGGCCUUCGGGUUGUAAACUGCUUUUGUACGGAACGAAACGGUAGAGGCUAAUAUCCUCUGCUAAUGACGGUACCUGAAGAAUAAGCACCGGCUAACUACGUGCCAGCCGCCGCGGUAACAC